rnacentral:rRNA from 1 species
AUUUUCUGCCACCGAAUACAUUAGCAUGGGAUAAUGGAAUAGGACCCUGUCCUCCUAUUUUCAGUUGGUUUUGGCAGCGCGAGGACUAGGGUAAUGAUUAAUAGGGAUAGUUGGGGGCAUUAAUAUUUAAUUGUCAGAGGUGAAAUUCUUGGAUUUAUGAAAGAUUAACUUCUGCGAAAGCAUCUGCCAAGGAUGUUUUCAUUAAUCAAGAACGAAAGUUAGGGGAUCGAAGACMAUCAGAUACCGUCGUAGUCUUAACCAUAAACGAUGCCGACCAGCGAUUAGGAGACGUUGAAUACAAAACACCACCAUCGGCGCGGUCGUCCUUGGCGUCUCGGUCCUUCACGGGGCCGGGGCGCGAGGGCGGCUUAGCCCGGUGGCACCGGUGAAUGACUCCCCUAGC